AGAACGAACGCUGGCGGCAUGCCUAACACAUGCAAGUCGAACGAGACCUUCGGGUCUAGUGGCGCACGGGUGCGUAACGCGUGGGAAUCUGCCCUUGGGUUCGGAAUAACAGUUAGAAAUGACUGCUAAUACCGGAUGAUGUCUUCGGACCAAAGAUUUAUCGCCCAGGGAUGAGCCCGCGUAGGAUUAGCUUGUUGGUGAGGUAAAAGCUCACCAAGGCGACGAUCCUUAGCUGGUCUGAGAGGAUGAUCAGCCACACUGGGACUGAGACACGGCCCAGACUCCUACGGGAGGCAGCAGUGGGGAAUAGUUGGACAAUGGGCGAAAGCCUGAUCCAGCAUGCCGCGUGAGUGAUGAAGGCCGUAGGUUGUAAAGCGUUCGUUUACCCGGGAUGAUAAUGACGACGACCGGAAGAAGUAAACGCCCCGGACUAACCUCCGUCGCCAGCACGGCCGAC
rnacentral:rRNA from 1 species